GGUAUGUAGCCUGGUCUAUAUAACUAUAGCGCGCGAAAAUUGGCAGCAACGGAGCCUGUCGCAGCCGUCCUCCGAUACUUGAACGCGACGGAGCUUCCUCUGCUCUGCUACCUCUCUAUUCCUUUUUUCCACCGAUUCACAAUCAACACAAUACCAGUUAGGGUUAGGGUUAGGGUUCCCCAAAUUCAAUCCUCCCUUUUCUCCAGACUUUCUACAAACCAACACCACCACUUACUUUCCCAACUCCUCUCCCAGUACAAGUCGGUCUCGAAACUUCUUCUCUUCACUCAAGUCUCAUGCAAUGAACGAUUCAUCAAUGGCAGAGUCUUCUCAGAUUGGAUAUUUGGUCCCCCUUGAUAGCAAGCUAGAUGAUGACAUUUCAAUCCCCAAAAUACCACUUUCCCGAGGCCGUAAUGUUGUCGGCCGCGAUAGCGUUCCAGUCACCGACAAGAGACUCAGCCGCAAACAUCUCACUAUAAAUGCCUCUGUCGACGGUUCUGCUCAUGUCCUUGUGGAAGGGUCAAAUCCGGUCGUUAUUAGAUCUGGGGAUCAGAGGAAGAAGCUGUUGUCUCAAGAAAGGUUGACAAUUAAACCCGGUGAUGUCAUUGAGCUGAUCCCUGGCCAUCAUUUUUUUAAGUAUGCAGUGUCAGCCGGUGAGGAAAAAACAAUAUCGCCCAAUAACCGGAAGAGGACUUUGGAUAAAGCUACCAAGCUUAGUGAAGGUGAGCCAUCGGGUCAGAAGAGGAUGCGGCAACUAUCUAAAGACGAAGCAUUUGCAAGACAAUUGCAGGCUGAGAUGGACAAUGAUAGUUUAAACCAAGAAAGGUCUGUUGAGGCUAUCCGGCAUUUUCACAUUUCAAAUGAAAAAUUACCUUUAACCUUUCGACUUUUGCGAGUGCAAGGGCUGCCGGCAUGGGCUAAUACAUCAUCUGUUUCUAUAGGAGAUGUGAUUCAGGGAGAUGUGCUCAUUGCUGUGCUAUCAAACUACAUGGUGGACAUCGACUGGUUGAAUUCUGCAUGUCCACCACUUAAAAAGGUUCCUCACGUGUUGGUUAUUCAUGGAGAGGGCGAUGGUACCCUAGAAUAUAUGAAGAGAAACAAACCUGCGAAUUGGAUUCUGCACAAGCCUCCACUACCCAUUUCUUAUGGGACACAUCAUUCAAAAGCCAUGUUUCUUGUAUAUCCUCGAGGAGUGAGAAUUAUUGUACAUACAGCAAACUUAAUACAUGUUGAUUGGAAUAACAAAAGUCAAGGUUUGUGGAUGCAAGAUUUUCCCUGGAAAGAUCAAAAUAAUCCAAGUAAAGGAUGUGGAUUUGAAAGUGACCUAGUUGACUAUCUUAGUGCAUUGAAGUGGCCUGAAUUUAAUGUUAAUUUACCAACCCUGGGCAACAUCAGAAUCAAUUCAUCAUUCUUCAAGAAGUUUGAUUACAGCAAUGCUGGGGUCAGGUUGAUUGCAUCUGUUCCUGGGUAUCAUACAGGUCCCAAUCUGAAAAAAUGGGGACAUAUGAAGUUGCGUACUAUUCUCAAUGAGUGCAUUUUUGACGAAGAAUUUCAGAGGUCCCCACUUGUCUAUCAGUUCUCCUCCCUAGGUUCUUUGGAUGAGAAGUGGAUGGCUGAGCUGGCAUCCUCGAUGUCAUCAGGAGUGUCAGAAGAUAAAACACCCCUGGGUUUAGGGGAGCCACUAAUAGUAUGGCCCACGGUGGAAGAUGUCAGAUGCUCUUUAGAGGGUUAUGCAGCUGGAAGUUGCAUUCCAAGCCCACAAAAGAAUGUGGAGAAGGAAUUCUUGAAGAAGUAUUGGGCAAAAUGGAAGGCGAACCACUCCGGUCGCGGUCGUGCAAUGCCUCAUAUAAAGACAUUCACACGUUACAAUGGUCAGAACCUUGCUUGGUUGUUGCUGACUUCAGCAAAUCUCAGCAAAGCUGCUUGGGGGGCACUUCAGAAAAACAAUUCUCAGUUGAUGGUCCGUUCUUAUGAGCUGGGAGUGCUAUUCCUAACUUCUUCUAUCAAACACGGUUGUGGUUUUUCUUGUACAGACGGUGGUAACCCAUCAGAGGAUAAAUGUGAAUCCUUUAGUAGUUCUAACGGGAAAAGAACAAAAUUAGUGACCCUGGCUUGUCAAGGAAGCAGGAAUACAAAUUCAACUGAAGUAAUUCAAUUGCCUGUGCCUUAUGAACUCCCUCCUCAGCCAUACUCCUCUGAAGAUGUUCCCUGGUCUUGGGACAGGCGAUAUUACAAGAAAGAUGUGAAUGGCCAAGUUUGGCCCAGAUGAGUAAAGCUUUAUGAUUCCUAGGAUUCCUGAUCUCUUUGUAAAACAACGGCCAAGGUGUUAAUAACAGAUGGCACCGAGUCACCGGCUAAAUAAGAAUCUCCUGUCCAGCCUUGAAAUCUACCUCUCCUGUCCACAUGUGGUGCCUAUUUUCUUGAUAAUUAAUUAAUACAAUUAAGCUCUUAAUAUGGUUCUAUCAGAUGGUUCAAAGUUCUGUCUUGGUUCGAGAGGGUCCACACUCUAUCAUAUACGUCAGGAGUCCAUUGAUGAGAGUGGGCUACGCAAUUGAAAUAUGGUGAUGAAUAUGACCGCAAUUGAAAUUCUUGGGGAGUUAUGUAAAAUUCUCGAGGAAGGUCAGGGUCAAAUGCAAUUUGUUCCAUUGUUUGACAACGCUGGAGGAGCAAUUGCCCAUCAGAAGAUCCCAUCAAAUAUUAUUAAAUUUGUUUCUUACUAUAUUUUUCUUUUUGAAUUCAUCUCAAGUGUUUUUUCAAGCAGUUAACAUGUCAAAAAUAUCCAAUUCACAAA